AAAUUUUGCUGGUGUUCUUUGACAGGACUGAGAAAUCUGUUUUAAUGCUUUAUAAUGCCUCGUGUCUUGUGAUGACUGAAUCUCGCAGCAUCAGACUGCUGUUCUUUCGCGGGACUCAGCCAGACCGGCCUGGGUAAACAUGAGCUUGCCCCGGAGGAGUGCUGGUGGUCUGCAGCGAUCCCGGUCAAGAGCUUCAUCCAAACCUCACCAAACAUCCCUUCCAGAGGCCAAGAGCAAGAGAGGGAAACAGAGCAGCUCUCUGACUCUCCACCCCGGGGUAUGAAGCCCAGCUGACCCGACACCCGUGACCUGCGCAGGAAUGCAGCUCUUGGCUCUGACGUUAAACAUAAUUCUAGGAAACAAACAGAAGAAUUCCUCAGACGUAAGAACACUAACACAGAAAGCCAGUACGUCACCCAAAGUCCAGAGCUCCAGCGUAAUCAUCAGAUUCAGAAGAGCAAUGAGAAACACAGUCUGGACCGUUCUGAAGGAACCUUCUAGAUGUAUGAAGCUAAAAGUGGCCUCCACCUGCGCUGUCAAUCAACCCCGCUGUCGCCAUGGCGACCUGCAGACUCCGGUGAAGGUCUGGAG
ensembl:lncRNA